rnacentral:rRNA from 1 species
AUUGAACGCUGGCGGCAUGCUUUACACAUGCAAGUCGAACGGCAGCGCGGGCUUCGGCCUGGCGGCGAGUGGCGAACGGGUGAGUAAUGCAUCGGAACGUGCCCAGUAGUGGGGGCUAGCCCGGCGAAAGCCGGAUUAAUACCGCAUACGACCUGAGGGUGAAAGCGGGGGACCGAAAGGCCUCGCGCUAUUGGAGCGGCCGAUGUCGGAUUAGCUAGUUGGUGGGGUAAAGGCUUACCAAGGCGACGAUCCGUAGCUGGUCUGAGAGGACGACCAGCCACACUGGGACUGAGACACGGCCCAGACUCCUACGGGAGGCAGCAGUGGGGAAUUUUGGACAAUGGGGGCAACCCUGAUCCAGCCAUGCCGCGUGCGGGAAGAAGGCCUUCGGGUUGUAAACCGCUUUUGUUCGGGAAGAAAUCCUCUGGGCUAAUACCCCGGGGGGAUGACGGUACCGGAAGAAUAAGCACCGGCUAACUACGUG